GCACAACCCCCCCCAACCCCCCAAAUGCACCAUGAUCUGUGCCCGGUGCCCCAGGUACUCUCACUCACUCACUGGGGCAGCACUACCCCCCCCAAAUGCACCAUGAUCUGUGCCCGGUGCCCCAGGUACUCUCACUCACUCACUGGGGCAGCACUACCCCCCCCAAAUGCACCAUGAUCUGUGCCCGGUGCCCCAGGUACUCUCACUCACUCACUGGGGCAGCACUACCCCCCCCAAAUGCACCAUGAUCUGUGCCCGGUGCCCCAGGUACUCUCACUCACUCACUGGGGCAGCACUACCCCCCCCAAAUGCACCAUGAUCUGUGCCCGGUGCCCCAGGUACUCUCACUCACUCACUGGGGCAGCACUACCCCCCCCAAAUGCACCAUGAUCUGUGCCCGGUGCCCCAGGUACUCUCACUCACUCACUGGGGCAGCACUACCCCCCCCCCAAAUGCACCAUGAUCUGUGCCCGGUGCCCCAGGUACUCUCACUCACUCACUGGGGCAGCACUACCCCCCCCAAAUGCAUCAUGAUCUGUGCCCGGUGCCC